GCGAACGGGUGAGUAACACGUGGGCAAUCUGCCCUGCACUCUGGGACAAGCCCUGGAAACGGGGUCUAAUACCGGAUGACACCCCCUCUCGCAUGGGAGGGGGUUGAAAGCUCCGGCGGUGCAGGAUGAGCCCGCGGCCUAUCAGCUUGUUGGUGAGGUAGAAGCUCACCAAGGCGACGACGGGUAGCCGGCCUGAGAGGGCGACCGGCCACACUGGGACUGAGACACGGCCCAGACUCCUACGGGAGGCAGCAGUGGGGAAUAUUGCACAAUGGGCGAAAGCCUGAUGCAGCGACGCCGCGUGAGGGAUGACGGCCUUCGGGUUGUAAACCUCUUUCAGCAGGGAAGAAGCGAAAGUGACGGUACCUGCAGAAGAAGCGCCGGCUAACUACGUGCCAGCAGCCGCGGUAAUACGUAGGGCGCAAGCGUUGUCCGGAAUUAUUGGGCGUAAAGAGCUCGUAGGCGGCUUGUCACGUCGGUUGUGAAAGCCCGGGGCUUAACCCCGGGUCUGCAGUCGAUACGGGCAGGCUAGAGUGUGGUAGGGGAGAUCGGAAUUCCUGGUGUAGCGGUGAAAUGCGCAGAUAUCAGGAGGAACACCGGUGGCGAAGGCGGAUCUCUGGGCCAUUACUGACGCUGAGGAGCGAAAGCGUGGGGAGCGAACAGGAUUAGAUACCCUGGUAGUCCA
rnacentral:rRNA from 2 species